rnacentral:rRNA from 1 species
GACGAACGCUGGCGGCGUGCUUAACACAUGCAAGUCGAACGGAAAGUCCCUGCUUUUGUGGGGUGCUCGAGUGGCGAACGGGUGAGUAACACGUGAGUAACCUGCCCUUGACUUUGGGAUAACUUCAGGAAACUGGGGCUAAUACCGGAUAGGAGCUCCUGCUUCAUGGUGGGGGUUGGAAAGUUUCGGUGGUUGGGGAUGGACUCGCGGCUUAUCAGCUUGUUGGUGGGGUAGUGGCUUACCAAGGCUUUGACGGGUAGCCGGCCUGAGAGGGUGACCGGCCACAUUGGGACUGAGAUACGGCCCAGACUCCUACGGGAGGCAGCUGUGGGGAAUAUUGCACUAUGGGCGGAAGCCUGAUGCAGCCACGCCGCGUGCGGGAUGACGGCAUUCGGGUUGUAAACCGCUUUCGCCUGUGACGAAGCGUGAGUGACGGUAAUGGGUAAAGAAGCACCGGCUAACUACGUG